rnacentral:rRNA from 1 species
GACGAACGCUGGCGGCGUGCCUAAUACAUGCAAGUAGAACGCUGAAGAGAGGAGCUUGCUCUUCUUGGAUGAGUUGCGAACGGGUGAGUAACGCGUAGUUAACCUGCCUUGUAGCGGGGGAUAACUAUUGGAAACGAUAGCUAAUACCGCAUAACAAUGGAUGACACAUGUCAUUUAUUUGAAAGUGGCAAUUGCUCCACUACAAGAUGGACCUGCGUUGUAUUAGCUAGUAGGUGAGGUAACGGCUCACCUAGGCGACGAUACAUAGCCGACCUGAGAGGGUGAUCGGCCACACUGGGACUGAGACACGGACCAGACUCCUACGGGAGGCAGCAGUAGGGAAUCUUCGGCAAUGGGGGCCACCCGGAACGAGCAACGCCGCGUGAGUGAAGAAGGUUUUCGGAUCGUAAAGCUCGGUUGUAAGUCAAGAACGAGUGUGAGAGUGGAAAGUUUACACUGUGACGGUAGCUUACCAGAAAGGGACGGCUAACUACGUG